rnacentral:tRNA from 1 species
ACCUGGGUGGCUCAGUCGGUUAAGCGUCCGACUUCGGCUCAGGUCAUGAUCUCGUGGUUUGUGAGUUCGAGCCUCACUUCAGGCU